rnacentral:rRNA from 1 species
AGAGUUUGAUCCUGGCUCAGAACGAACGCUGGCGGCGUGCCUAACACAUGCAAGUCGAGCGCGAAAGUCCCUUCGGGGGCGAGUAGAGCGGCGGACGGGUGAGUAAUACAUGGAUAAUCUCCCUUCGAGCUCGGGAUAACACUGCGAAAGCGGUGCUAAUACCGGAUAAGACCACGUCACCCAGGUGAUGCGGUAAAAGAUGGCUUUGUUUUCGGAUGAGGCUAUCACUUGAGGAUGAGUCCAUGGCCUAUCAGCUUGUUGGUGAGGUAAAGGCUCACCAAGGCGAUGACGGGUAGCUGGUCUGAGAGGACGACCAGCCACACUGGGACUGAGACACGGCCCAGACUCCUACGGGAGGCAGCAGUGGGGAAUAUUGGGCAAUGGGCGAAAGCCUGACCCAGCGACGCCGUGUGGGCGAUGAAGGCCUUCGGGUUGUAAAGCCCUGUUGGGUGGAAAGAAGGGCUCUAGGACGAAUAAUCCCUGAGUCUUGACGGUACCACCAGAGGAAGCACCGGCUAACUCCGUGCCAGCAGCCGCGGUAAUACGGAGGGUGCAAGCGUUGUUCGGAAUUACUGGGCGUAAAGGGCGCGUAGGUGGUUGUGUAAGUCAGAUGUGAAAUCCCGAGGCUCAACCUCGGAACUGCAUCUGAUACUGCAUGACUAGAGUGCAGCAGAGGGAAACGGAAUUCCCAGUGUAGAGGUGAAAUUCGUAGAUAUUGGGAGGAACACCGGUGGCGAAGGCGGUUUCCUGGGCUGACACUGACACUGAGGCGCGAAAGCGUGGGUAGCAAACAGGAUUAGAUACCCUGGUAGUCCACGCUGUAAAC